GCAGGUUGGCCCUCUCUCGGCGCGCCAUGUUGGUUUGUGCUUCCGUCGCCCCCCUCGUUUCUAAGCAGCGUUUGUUAUUUUCCCGCAGUGAUGGGACCAAGAAGGAAGCUGCCCGUAAUCGUUGCUACCAGAUACGAAACACGGAAAGCAUGAUUCUACGACAUGGUGGCAAGCGCUCGAUUGCAUCGUCUCGCAUCAAGAACGUCCUCUGCACUAAGCUCUCUUUUUGGUCUCGUACGUAAAAUAAAUGUGUUCUUAUAGACGG